UACGGGGGGGGUAAGCGUUGUUCGGAAUUACUGGGCGUAAAGGGCUCGUAGGCGGCCAACUAAGUCAUACGUGAAAUCCCUCAGCUUAACUGGGGAACUGCGUCUGAUACUGGAUGGCUUGGAUUCGGGAGAGGAAUGCGGAAUUCCAGGUGUAGCGGUGAAAUGCGUAGAUAUCUGGAGGAACACCGGUGGCGAAGGCGGCAUUCUGGACCGACAUUGACGCUGAGGAGCGAAAGCCUGGGGAGCAAACGGG
rnacentral:rRNA from 1 species